CCUACGGGUGGCAGCAGUGGGGAAUAUUGCGCAAUGGGCGAAAGCCUGAUGCAGCGACGCCGCGUGGGUGAAGAAGCGCCUCGGCGCGUAAAGCCCUGUCAGCAGGGAAGAAAAUGACGGUACCUGAAGAAGAAGCCCCGGCUAACUACGUGCCAGCAGCCGCGGUAAUACGUAGGUGGCAAGCGUUAUCCGGAUUUACUGGGUGUAAAGGGAGCGCAGACGGCGAUGCAAGCCUGGAGUGAAAGCCGGGGGCCCAACACCGGGACUGCUCUUGAAACUGCGUGGCGAGAGUGCAGGAGGGGCAGGCGGAAUUCCUGGUGUAGCGGUGAAAUGCGUAGAUAUCAGGAGGAACACCGGUGGCGAAGGCGGCCUGCUGGACUGCAACUGACGUUGAGGCCCGAAAGCGUGGGGAGCAAACAGGAUUAGAUACCCCAGUAGUC
rnacentral:rRNA from 1 species